CCCAGACCACCAGCUAAGGUCCCAAAAUAUAUGUUAAGUGGAAAAGGAUGUGGCGUUGCCCAGACAACUAGGAUGUUGGCUUAGAAGCAGCCAUCAUUUAAAGAGUGCGUAAUAGCUCACUAGUCGAGUGACACUGCGCCGAAAAUGUACCGGGGCUAAACAUAUUACCGAAGCUGUGGAUUGUCCUUUGGACAAUGGUAGGAGAGCGUUCUAAGGGCGUUGAAGCAUGAUCGUAAGGACAUGUGGAGCGCUUAGAAGUGAGAAUGCCGGUGUGAGUAGCGAAAGACGGGUGAGAAUCCCGUCCACCGAUUGACUAAGGUUUCCAGAGGAAGGCUCGUCCGCUCUGGGUUAGUCGGGUCCUAAGCUGAGGCCGACAGGCGUAGGCGAUGGAUAACAGGUUGAUAUUCCUGUACCACCUAUAAUCGUUUUA
rnacentral:rRNA from 1 species